rnacentral:rRNA from 1 species
UUGCAUAUCAAUAAGCGGAGGAAAAGAAACCAACCGGGAUUGCCUUAGUAACGGCGAGUGAAGCGGCAAAAGCUCAAAUUUGAAAUCUGGUACCUUCGGUGCCCGAGUUGUAAUUUGGAGAGGGCAACUUUGGGGCCGUUCCUUGUCUAUGUUCCUUGGAACAGGACGUCAUAGAGGGUGAGAAUCCCGUGUGGCGAGGAGUGCGGUUCUUUGUAAAGUGCCUUCGAAGAGUCGAGUUGUUUGGGAAUGCAGCUCUAAGUGGGUGGUAAAUUCCAUCUAAAGCUAAAUAUUGGCGAGAGACCGAUAGCGAACAAGUACAGUGAUGGAAAGAUGAAAAGAACUUUGAAAAGAGAGUGAAAAAGUACGUGAAAUUGUUGAAAGGGAAGGGCAUUUGAUCAGACAUGGUGUUUUGUGCCCUCUGCUCCUUGUGGGUAGGGGAAUCUCGCAUUUCACUGGGCCAGCAUCAGUUUUGGUGGCAGGAUAAAUCCAUAGGAAUGUAGCUUGCCUCGGUAAGUAUUAUAGCCUGUGGGAAUACUGCCAGCUGGGACUGAGGACUGCGACGUAAGUCAA